rnacentral:tRNA from 1 species
GGAAAGAUGCCAGAGUGGUCGAAUGGGCCGCACUCGAAAUGCGGUGAACGGGUAACUGUUCCGGGGGUUCGAAUCCCUCUCUUUCCGCUA